rnacentral:rRNA from 1 species
CGAACGGGUGAGUAACGCGUGAGGAACCUGCCUCAAAGAGGGGGACAACAGUUGGAAACGACUGCUAAUACCGCAUAAGCCCACGGGUCGGCAUCGACCAGAGGGAAAAGGAGCAAUCCGCUUUGAGGUGGCCUCGCGUCCGAUUAGCUAGUUGGUGAGGUAACGGCCCACCAAGGCGACGAUCGGUAGCCGGACUGAGAGGUUGAACGGCCACAUUGGGACUGAGACACGGCCCAG